GAUCACCACCAAGGACUUAAAGGAGAAGAAGGAAGUUGUGGAGGAGGCGGAAAUGGAAGAGAUGCCUCUGCUAAUGGGAACACUAAUGAGGAAAAUUGGGAGCAGGAGGUUGACAAUGAGGUAGAUGAAGAAGAGGAAGAAGGUGAUGGUGAGGAAGAGGAUGGAGAUGAAGACGAGGAAGCUGAGUUUGCUAUGGGCAAGUGAGUAGCUGAAGAUGAUAAGGAUGAUGAUGUCCAUACCAAGAAGCAGA
rnacentral:lncRNA from 1 species